AUGCAUUCUGAGGUACCAGUGAGUAAUAACAAGAAAAUUUGGAAGUCAAAGAUUCCACUAAAAGUUAAAAUCAUCAUGUGGUAUCUUUGUAGGGGAGUUGUGCAAAUCAAACACAACCUUGCACGACGCAACUGGCCAGGACGUAAGCAGUGUUGCUUUUGCGCUCAUGACGAGACAAUCAAGCACCUCUUUUUCCAAUGCAAGUUUGCACGUUCUACAUGGCCAGUCAUCCAAAUAGCGUAA
rnacentral:rRNA from 1 species